rnacentral:SRP_RNA from 1 species
GCUGGGUGUGGUGGCAAGUGCCUGUAGUCCCAGCUACUCGGGAGGCUGAGGCUGGAGGAUUACUUGAGUCCAGGAGUUCUUGGCUAUAGUGCGCUAUGCCGAUCAGGUGUCCGUAGUAAGUUUGACAUCAAUAUGGUGACCUCCCAGGAACGGGGGACCACCAGGUUGCCUAAGGAGGAGCGAACCGACCCAGGUCAGAAAUGGAGCAGGUCAAAAGUCCCGUGCUGAUCAGUAGUGGGAUCGUGCCUGUGAAUAGCCACUGCACUCCAGGCUGGGCAACAUAGUGAGACCCUGUCUCU